rnacentral:rRNA from 1 species
GACGAACGCUGGCGGCGUGCCUAAUACAUGCAAGUCGAGCGCAGGAAGCCGUCUGAACCCUUCGGGGGGACGACGGUGGAAUGAGCGGCGGACGGGUGAGUAACACGUAAAGAACCUGCCCAUAGGUCUGGGAUAACCACGAGAAAUCGGGGCUAAUACCGGAUGUGUCAUCGGACCGCAUGGUCCGCUGAUGAAAGGCGCUCCGGGGUCGCCCAUGGAUGGCUUUGCGGUGCAUUAGCUAGUUGGUGGGGUAACGGCCCACCAAGGCGACGAUGCAUAGCCGACCUGAGAGGGUGAUCGGCCACACUGGGACUGAGACACGGCCCAGACUCCUACGGGAGGCAGCAGUAGGGAAUCUUCCACAAUGGACGAAAGUCUGAUGGAGCAACGCCGCGUGAACGAUGAAGGCUUUCGGGUCGUAAAGUUCUGUUGUAAGGGAAGAACAAGUGCCGCAGGCAAUGGCGGCACCUUGACGGUACCUUGCGAGAAAGCCACGGCUAACUACGUGCCAGCCGCCGCAGUAA